rnacentral:rRNA from 1 species
AUUGAACGCUGGCGGCAUGCUUUACACAUGCAAGUCGAACGGCAGCGCGGGCUUCGGCCUGGCGGCGAGUGGCGAACGGGUGAGUAAUGCAUCGGAACGUGCCCAGUAGAGGGGGAUAGCCCGGCGACAGCCGGAUUAAUACCGCAUACGACCUGAGGGUGAAAGCGGGGGACCGAAAGGCCUCGCGCUAUUGGAUCGGCCGAUGUCGGAUUAGCUAGUUGGUGGGGUAAAGGCUUACCAAGGCGACGAUCCGUAGCUGGUCUGAGAGGACGACCAGCCACACUGGGACUGAGACACGGCCCAGACUCCUACGGGAGGCAGCAGUGGGGAAUUUUGGACAAUGGGGGCAACCCUGAUCCAGCCAUGCCGCGUGCGGGAAGAAGGCCUUCGGGUUGUAAACCGCUUUUGUUUGGGAAGAAAUCCUCUGGGCUAAUACCCCGGGGGGAUGACGGUACCGGAAGAAUAAGCACCGGCUAACUACGUG